CUGAAUUUAACAAGUUACUGCACUGUAAUAAUAUGAUCUACUUUAUAUUUUUAUAGUACUUUAAUUGAAAUCCAACUGAAACCGUUUGUAAUCUUUAUAUGUAGAAUUACACCUGAUAGAAUCUUAACUCUUAGUUGUUGAUGAAGACACAAAAACAAAGCAUUCUUAAACCUUUUUCCAUUUACAAAUUUAUGAAACUCAUUUAAUGUUUAAAUAUGUUACCUUAUGGAAUUUAAAAAGUCAAGAGUACUUGAUUUGAUAUUUAGUAGUUGAAGUUUUAGCAUUUUAACUUCACAGAUUAAUCAGAUAUGUCCUCUAACAAACACAUUUAUGAAGAUUCAUCUCAUGCUGUUAAAUUUAAUUUUAACUGCAAAAACAAAAAUAUCAGAAAAGUAUUGUUAAGUAUUAACCAUCUCUUCCCUGUUAAAGAAAAAUUCUAGAACCAAUAGAUGUCACAUUCUAGACAUUUUAUAGAAACUACACUUCAUUUAUUGCCUGAUCACUUAGAAAAACUUGUGAGUUAACAAUUUUAAAAACAUCUUUACUCUCAUAUGUUUACCCAAUUUAAAUUGAACUACUUUUAAAAUGAACUAAAGGGUAUUUGGAUCCAUUUCUCAUUUAAAUUUUGAUUUUUGAACACUCAUUUAUAUACCAAUUUUGAUACCACAUACAUCAUAUAUGGACACAGGACAUAUGUAGACAUAACAAUACAAUACAUAGGUUUACAUACAUACAUAAAGAGAUGGGAAACAAAGAUCUUGUAGCUUUUCAUAGGUAGAUCUCCACAGGUAGCAGACAAUGCUUCAGAUGUUCAUUAAAGCCUCUAUUAGAUUUAACCUAUUAGAAAUUAAAAUAGAGUCUAUUGCUGAGAGCCAUAGCCAAGUAGGAAUGAUGCAUGGCAUUUUUGGUUGAAAGGUGACGCCAGCAAGCCAUUGAGAUGAUAAUGAUUGUGUUAAGAUGUGCAUUCAAUUGGAGAUUAGACCCCUGCUGUCUGCCUUGGCCUGCUACUUGGAGCUCUCACAGGACUCCCAGAGAGUUCCCAUUGGUUGGGGAAGUGCGGUAGGAGGGAAUUCCGGAGGAGGGAUUUCCUGUUGGUGUAGUGUGUCCCGGGAGAAGGCCGCGUGCGUGGCAUUUGCA
rnacentral:lncRNA from 1 species